rnacentral:rRNA from 1 species
UAACACAUGCAAGUCGAACGGAAACGAAACUAGCUUGCUAGUAGGCGUCGAGUGGCGGACGGGUGAGUAACGCGUAGGAAUCUGCCUGAUAGUGGGGGAUAGCCCGAAGAAAUUCGGAUUAAUACCGCAUAAUCUAUUCGUAGUAAAGUGGGGGACUUUCGAGCCUCACGCUAUCAGAUGAGCCUGCGUAAGAUUAGCUUGUUGGUAGGGUAAAAGCCUACCAAGGCAACGAUCUUUAGCUGGUCUGAGAGGAUGAUCAGCCACAUCGGGACUGAGACACGGCCCGAACUCCUACGGGAGGCAGCAGUGGGGAAUAUUGGACAAUGGGGGCAACCCUGAUCCAGCAAUACCGCGUGUGUGAAGAAGGCCUGAGGGUUGUAAAGCACUUUCAAUUAUGAAGAAAAGUUAACGGUUAAUAACCGUUGACCUUGACGUUAAUUUUAGAAGAAGCACCGGCUAACUCCGUGCCAGCAGCCGCGGUAAUACGGAGGGUGCAAGCGUUAAUCGGAAUUACUGGGCGUAAAGCGUGCGUAGGCGGUUUAUUAAGUCAGAUGUGAAAAGCCCCGGGCUUAACCUGGGAACUGCAUUUGAAACUGGUCAACUAGAGUAUGUAGAGGAAAGUGGAAUUUCUGGUGUAGCGGUGAAAUGCGUAGAUAUCAGAAGGAACAUCAAUGGCGAAGGCAGCUUUCUGGACCAAUACUGACGCUGAGGUACGAAAGCGUGGGUAGCAAACAGGAUUAGAUACCCUGGUAGUCCACGCCGUAAACGAUGAUAACUAGCCGUUGGGGGGAUUUACCCCUUAGUGGCGAAGCUAACGCGUUAAGUUAUCCGCCUGGGGAGUACGGCCGCAAGCUA